rnacentral:rRNA from 1 species
AAAUUGAAGAGUUUGAUCAUGGCUCAGAUUGAACGCUGGCGGCAGGCCUAACACAUGCAAGUCGAGCGGUAGCACAGAGAGCUUGCUCUCGGGUGACGAGCGGCGGACGGGUGAGUAAUGUCUGGGAAACUGCCUGAUGGAGGGGGAUAACUACUGGAAACGGUAGCUAAUACCGCAUAAUGUCGCAAGACCAAAGUGGGGACCUUCGGGCCUCAUGCCAUCAGAUGUGCCCAGAUGGGAUUAGCUAGUAGGUGGGGUAACGGCUCACCUAGGCGACGAUCCCUAGCUGGUCUGAGAGGAUGACCAGCCACACUGGAACUGAGACACGGUCCAGACUCCUACGGGAGGCAGCAGUGGGGAAUAUUGCACAAUGGGCGCAAGCCUGAUGCAGCCAUGCCGCGUGUGUGAAGAAGGCCUUCGGGUUGUAAAGCACUUUCAGCGGGGAGGAAGGCGAUAAGGUUAAUAACCUUGUCGAUUGACGUUACCCGCAGAAGAAGCACCGGCUAACUCCGUGCCAGCAGCCGCGGUAAUACGGAGGGUGCAAGCGUUAAUCGGAAUUACUGGGCGUAAAGCGCACGCAGGCGGUCUGUCAAGUCGGAUGUGAAAUCCCCGGGCUCAACCUGGGAACUGCAUUCGAAACUGGCAGGCUAGAGUCUUGUAGAGGGGGGGUAGAAUUCCAGGUGUAGCGGUGAAAUGCGUAGAGAUCUGGAGGAAUACCGGUGGCGAAGGCGGCCCCCUGGACAAAGACUGACGCUCAGGUGCGAAAGCGUGGGGAGCAAACAGGAUUAGAUACCCUGGUAGUCCACGCCGUAAACGAUGUCGAUUUGGAGGUUGUGCCCUUGAGGCGUGGCUUCCGGAGCUAACGCGUUAAAUCGACCGCCUGGGGAGUACGGCCGCAAGGUUAAAACUCAAAUGAAUUGACGGGGGCCCGCACAAGCGGUGGAGCAUGUGGUUUAAUUCGAUGCAACGCGAAGAACCUUACCUGGUCUUGACAUCCACAGAACUUUCCAGAGAUGGAUUGGUGCCUUCGGGAACUGUGAGACAGGUGCUGCAUGGCUGUCGUCAGCUCGUGUUGUGAAAUGUUGGGUUAAGUCCCGCAACGAGCGCAACCCUUAUCCUUUGUUGCCAGCGGUUAGGCCGGGAACUCAAAGGAGACUGCCAGUGAUAAACUGGAGGAAGGUGGGGAUGACGUCAAGUCAUCAUGGCCCUUACGACCAGGGCUACACACGUGCUACAAUGGCAUAUACAAAGAGAAGCGACCUCGCGAGAGCAAGCGGACCUCAUAAAGUAUGUCGUAGUCCGGAUUGGAGUCUGCAACUCGACUCCAUGAAGUCGGAAUCGCUAGUAAUCGUAGAUCAGAAUGCUACGGUGAAUACGUUCCCGGGCCUUGUACACACCGCCCGUCACACCAUGGGAGUGGGUUGCAAAAGAAGUAGGUAGCUUAACCUUCGGGAGGGCGCUUACCACUUUGUGAUUCAUGACUGGGGUGAAGUCGUAACAAGGUAACCGUAGGGGAACCUGCGGUUGGAUCACCUCCUUA